CCUACGGGAGGCAGCAGUGGGGAAUUUUGGACAAUGGGCGAAAGCCUGAUCCAGCAAUGCCGCGUGCAGGAUGAAGGCCUUCGGGUUGUAAACUGCUUUUGUACGGAGCGAAACGGCCAUCUCUAAUAAAGAUGGCUAAUGACGGUACCGUAAGAAUAAGCACCGGCUAACUACGUGCCAGCAGCCGCGGUAAUACGUAGGGUGCGAGCGUUAAUCGGAAUUACUGGGCGUAAAGCGUGCGCAGGCGGUUUUGUAAGACAGAUGUGAAAUCCCCGGGCUCAACCUGGGACCUGCAUUUGUGACUGCAAAGCUAGAGUACGGUAGAGGGGGAUGGAAUUCCGCGUGUAGCAGUGAAAUGCGUAGAUAUGCGGAGGAACACCGAUGGCGAAGGCAAUCCCCUGGACCUGUACUGACGCUCAUGCACGAAAGCGUGGGGAGCAAACAGGAUUAGAUACCCUGGUAGUCCACGCCCUAAACGAUGUCAACUGGUUGUUGGGUCUUUGCUGACUCAGUAACGAAGCUAACGCGUGAAGUUGACCGCCUGGGGAAGUCGGGCCGCGAAGGUUGAAACUUCGAAAGNGUUAGUUGGCGGNGNGAGNGCGACGACGACGACGACGGAGGAGGAGG
rnacentral:rRNA from 1 species